AGAGUUUGAUCAUGGCUCAGAACGAACGCUGGCGGCAUGCCUAACACAUGCAAGUCGAACGCCUGUAGCAAUACAGGAGUGGCGCACGGGUGAGUAACGCGUGGGAACCUGCCCUGGAGUGGGGGAUAACCGAGGGAAACCUCGGCUAAUACCGCAUACGACCUGAGGGUGAAAGAUUUAUCGCUCUAGGAGGGGCCCGCGUCGGAUUAGCUAGUUGGUGAGGUAACGGCUCACCAAGGCGACGAUCCGUAGCUGGUCUGAGAGGAUGAUCAGCCACACUGGGACUGAGACACGGCCCAGACUCCUACGGGAGGCAGCAGUGGGGAAUAUUGGACAAUGGGGGCAACCCUGAUCCAGCAAUGCCGCGUGAGUGAUGAAGGCCUUAGGGUUGUAAAGCUCUUUCGGCGGGGACGAUGAUGACGGUACCCGCAGAAGAAGCCCCGGCUAACUUCGUGCCAGCAGCCGCGGUAAUAC
rnacentral:rRNA from 1 species